AUGUUUAAAAAAACAUAUGCUGAGAACCUGCCUGCACUUGAAGGAAAACAGCAGUGGGAUAUUGUAGACCCUGGUUUCAAACUAAGUCCACCUGUACAGAACAAAGCUGCACCUGGCAGGCCAAGGAAGACAAGAAUUAAGCCAGCAAGUGAAGGAAAAGGACUUGGUCCUAGGAAGAGAAAAUGCAAGAGGUGUGGUGGCUUGGGUCACUUACUAAAAACCUGCAAAAAAGCCAUUGAUCCAGCAUUUGGUGAAGAAGAUGCACACUGGGGAGCUGACAAUGCUUAA
rnacentral:rRNA from 1 species